CUUCUUUGUUAUUUCUUUUCUUUAUCUUCAUCUUCUCUGUCGAUCCCAAUCAAGGAGAUUGAGCAUAAAUCUUGUAUGAGGUUCAUACCAGCUUGGUAGUAAGUUGAAUCGAAGGUGGAGAUGUUGAUUCUGUGGUUAAAUUGGAUCGGGAGGAGAAGAACUGAUUGUUAUUAUGAUAUGAUGUUAGGGUUUCAUAAGAGAUUUAUCUGAGAGGAUUUAGAAAGAGAGGCAGAUGUUAUUGAUAAAUGAUUAAGAGUGGGUUUAGUCAAUUUAGGAACGGGAUGAAGUUAAUUAGAUGUUGGGAGUUGUUCUGAAGUUGAAUCGAGGAUGAAUCAAAUAGUUAGGGUUUCUGCAUGUUGUGUUGGAAUUCGGUUUGAGUAGGAAUUAAGAAGAUAUAGACAGGUUACAAGAUGGGUUUGCUUAAUUGAAGAUUUAAUUGAUGUUUUGGGUUUGAAUUAGAGAUUGAAGAAAGUUAGGGUUUAUGUGUUCUUCCCCAAAUUAUAAUUAGGGUUUCAACGCAAUUGGUUUGGUGAACUGACAAUUCAAAGGAAGCUAGUGAAUGGAUGCAGGGAGGAAGUGUAGUGGUAGUUCAGGUUAAACUACAGGGGUCGUGAUGGUGAAGGUAUGGAAUGUAGGUAUUGGAAUGAACUAAAUUGCAGGUGGUGAUGAAGAUGGUUGUAAUCGAGUGUUCUGGAGUCGCAGUUGCAGAUUGGUGAUGUUAGGGGUUUAAGACGGCAAUGUAAAGGAAUGUGUAGGUGAUAGAUGAAUCUGUGUGUGUAAGAUUUCCAACUGAGCUACAAGUUUCUUUGAUGUUGUUAAAGUUACAAGGAAUUGUUGAAUAUUGAAUUGAGUUUAAGGAAGGUGGUAUGAGGUGUCGUAUGUCUUGCUCAACUAAUAAGGAGAAUUAGAUGAAUGAUAUAGGGUGGUGUGUGUAACUGUUGCAGAUUGAAGUUGUAUUAUGGCUAAUAUAUGCAGCUGUGGUUAUAUAGAGAAUGUUGAGUUAGUAUUGCAGUUGUGAGAGUUAUAUGAAUGGGUAAUAUGCUAGGGAUAACUGUUAAGGAUUCACAAUUGUGGUUGAAUGUGCUGAGUUGCAAAUAAGCUGAACUGGUGAUGAUUAUAGAGUUGCAGUUAGUGUUAGUUGUAGAAGCUUGGAACUGCUGAAUUGCAGUUAGUCUAUAUUAACAACGAUCGAUUCAAAGGAUGAACCAGUGGAUCG